rnacentral:rRNA from 1 species
UGGGGAAUAUUGCACAAUGGGCGAAAGCCUGAUGCAGCGACGCCGCGUGAGGGAUGACGGCCUUCGGGUUGUAAACCUCUUUCAGUAGGGACGAAGCGCAAGUGACGGUACCUGCAGAAGAAGCACCGGCUAACUACGUGCCAGCAGCCGCGGUAAUACGUAGGGUGCGAGCGUUGUCCGGAAUUACUGGGCGUAAAGAGCUCGUAGGCGGUUUGUCACGUCGUCUGUGAAAUCCUAGGGCUUAACCCUGGACGUGCAGGCGAUACGGGCUGACUUGAGGACUACAGGGGGGACUGGAAUUUCUGGUGUAGCGGUGGAAUGCACAGAUAUCAGGAAGAACACCGAUGGCGAAGGCAGGUCUCUGGGUAGUAACUGACGCUGAGGAGCGAAAGCAUGGGUAGCGAACAGG